AGCCGCGCGGUGAGCACAGAGCGAACUAUUCUUUCGCCUUUUACUAAAGAAUACCGUGUGCUCGCCGCUAAGAGCGGCAUACGCCAAUUUUUGGAGGGUCCACUUUCUCUUGAUGGUG